ensembl:snoRNA
GUUGAGGUCUAUCCCGAUGGAGUUUUUCCUCGUAGAGGAAACCCCUCGUAGAGUAUUUGUGUGGUUUCCUUUACUCACAGGACUGUGUGUCGGAUCCAAGCGAAAGAACUGCAGGACACAG